GUUCAUCAAACGAUUUUGCCUGGGAAAGAAAAGCAGGUCUGGCGGGCAAAAGUGGAAAAAAAAUUUGUUCUUCUUCUGGACUCUGACAGAAAGAUGAGGUUAGCUGAGUACGUGUGUGGUUCUGUUGCAAUCCAUACAUAUUUGGGGGAGAUAAGCCUCAAAGACAGAGGAAUAUAGGUUUGUAGCGGUAGAGAAAGGAUGGCCGUGGGUUAUGUGCUUUUCUUGAAAGUUGAAAUGGUUGGUGGAGAUUGUCAAUGCGUAUGGGUUUCUUGGAAGUUGAGAGAGAGUGUGGAAGAUCAGAAAAAACUUUUUACUGUUCUGUGGUUCAGCAUUCUCAACUAAUCACAAUACAGCUAGCUAAAGGAUCUCGGUCUAAUUGGAGCUCAGCCUGCUGAAUUAGGAAAUUUUGCUCACUUGUGAAAAAUGUAAGAGAAAUAUGCAUGUUUUGCUCAAUUAUAAAAGUCAUAAACUCAUCAUGUUAUUAUUUUCAAUUAUAAAAGUCAUAAACUCAUCAUGUUAUUAUUUGCUCAAUAAUUCUUAGAGAUUAUUAAUUUUUCACAGUUGUUAAUGAGUAAUCCAUACAAAUUCCCUUGUUUUAUUUUUAUACAUGCAUGUUAUUAAGGUCAGCUUUAUUAUUCUGAUAGUGUUAUGCAUGCAUGUUACUAAAGUUUAACACUCUCUCUCUCAUGCACUCUGUUUGUGUAUCUCUGUGUUUGUGUGGAGCUGGCGGGAAUGUAGUCAGGGCCAAUCACUAGGCCUCUGCAGCUUCAAAAAGCACUCUAAAGGAAGAACUUUGUUUAAUCUAAGGACAGAGAAAACUAUUGCUAAAGAGAGUUUUAUCCAUAAUGAUGUAAGCUCUUCAGUUUCUAGAAGUGUUGUGAUGCUUUUUUUUUUUUUUUUCAAAAAGAAAAAUCCUCCAAAGCUUUAGUAAUCAUGUUAAGUCAAAUAUUUCCCUUUUUAAUUUGUGGCAUUUAAUUGGUUGUUGCUUCGGAUGCAUUCUGGUUUUGGAUAUUAGGCAACAUUAUAUUGAAAUUUAUACAGCUCCUUUUGUUCCUGUCAUUUAUCA